UUGGAGAAAUGAGGUACCACUGAAAUGGCC
rnacentral:piRNA from 1 species